UUGAACGCUGGCGGAAUGCUUUACACAUGCAAGUCGAGCGGCAGCGCGGGGGCAACCCUGGCGGCGAGCGGCGAACGGGUGAGUAAUGUAUCGGAACGUACCCUGUCGUGGGGGAUAACACAGCGAAAGCUGUGCUAAUACCGCAUACGACCUGAGGGUGAAAGCGGGGGAUCGCAAGACCUCGCGCGAUAGGAGCGGCCGAUAUCGGAUUAGCUUGUUGGUGAGGUAAAGGCUCACCAAGGCGACGAUCCGUAGCGGGUCUGAGAGGACGACCAGCCACACUGGAACUGAGACACGGUCCAGACUCCUACGGGAGGCAGCAGUGGGGAAUUUUGGACAAUGGGCGAAAGCCUGAUCCAGCCAUGCCGCGUGAGUGAAGAAGGCCUUCGGGUUGUAAAGCUCUUUCAGCCGGAAAGAAAUCGCGCAGGCUAAUACUCUGCGUGGAUGACGGUACCGGAAGAAGAAGCACCGGCUAACUACG
rnacentral:rRNA from 1 species